CAGUCGCCACGGUAAUACAGAGGGUGCGAGCGUUAAUCGGAUUUACUGGGCGUAAAGCGUGCGUAGGCGGCUUUUUAAGUCGGAUGUGAAAUCCCUGAGCUUAACUUAGGAAUUGCAUUCGAUACUGGGAAGCUAGAGUAUGGGAGAGGAUGGUAGAAUUCCAGGUGUAGCGGUGAAAUGCGUAGAGAUCUGGAGGAAUACCGAUGGCGAAGGCAGCCAUCUGGCCUAAUACUGACGCUGAGGUACGAAAGCAUGGGGAGCAAACAGGAUUAGAUACCCCGGUAGUCCCUGUCUCUUAUAC
rnacentral:rRNA from 1 species